GAUCAUUACCAAGAGAAAUCUUUCAACACUGAAAGAUCUUUUCCUUUGUGCUGGCUUUGACCGUAUGUAAUUUUGGGACUUUAAAAUGGUUCGCAAGGGCCGGUCCCAAAAACAAUAUAUCAUCCUUAUGAAAUUUUUUCUGAACAAUUAAACAAAUGAUUUUAAUAAUCUGUUUAAAACAACUUUCAACAACGGAUCUCUUGGUUCUCGCAUCGAUGAAGAACGCAGCGAAAUGCGAUACGUAAUGUGAAUUGCAGAAUUCAGUGAAUCAUCGAAUCUUUGAACGCACAUUGCACUCCUUGGUAUUCCGAGGAGUAUGCCUGUUUCAGUAUCAUGAGCACUCUCACACCUAACCUUUGGGUUUAUGGCGUGGAAUUGGAAUGCGCCGACUGUCAUGGUUGGCCCUUCUAAAAUGUAGUUCUUGGCUGUCACCUAAUACAGCAGUUUGGCCUAAUAGUUUUGGCAUUCAUUGUCAAAUCUUUGGCUAACAUUUGCUCCAGGAGUCAGUCUUGAUAAUACAGAAAACUCAUUCAAAUUUUGAUCUGAAAUCAGGUAGGGCUACCCGCUGAACUUAAGCAUAUCAAUAAGCGGAGGAAAAGAAACUAACAAGGAUUCCCCUAGUAACGGCGAGUGAAGCGGGAAGAGCUCAAAUUUAAAAUCUGGUUUGCUUUGCAAAUCCGAGUUGUAGUCUGAAGAAACGUUUUCCAUGAAAGCUGAGGCACAAGUCCUUUGGAACAGGGCAUCAUAGAGGGUGAGAAUCCCGUCCAUGGUCUCAAGCCUUUCAUUUUGUGAUACGUUUUCUAAGAGUCAGGUUGUUUGGGAAUGCAGCCUAAAAUGGGUGGUAAAUUUCAUCUAAAGCUAAAUAUUGGCGAGAGACCGAUAGCGAACAAGUACCGUGAGGGAAAGAUGAAAAGAACUUUGAAAAGAGAGUUAAAAAGUACGUGAAAUUGUUGAAAGGGAACCGUUUGAAGCCAGUCUUGCUUGCUUGUGAUCAAUCUUUGCUUCGGCUUGGAUGCACUCUCAGGUUAUGCAGGUCAACGUCAGUUUGAGAGGUGGGAAAAAAGCUUGAGGAAUGUGGCCUUCGGGUGUUAUAGCCUCUUGCUAAAUACCAUCUUUUGGACUGAGGCUCGCAGCAAAAAUGUGGGCAGGUUUGCGUUUGAGGUGAUACAUUAUUAAGACAGCUUGCUGACUUAGUUUUGUCUAUCUUCACUGUAA
rnacentral:rRNA from 1 species